rnacentral:rRNA from 1 species
CUACGGGUGGCACCAGUGGGGAAUAUUGCACAAUGGGGGAAACCCUGAUGCAGCAACGCCGCGUGGAGGAUGACACAUUUCGGUGCGUAAACUCCUUUUAUAUAAGAAGAUAAUGACGGUAUUAUAUGAAUAAGCACCGGCUAACUCCGUGCCAGCAGCCGCGGGUAAUACGGAGGGUGCAAGCGUUAUUCGGAAUCACUGGGCGUAAAGGGUGCGUAGGCGGUUUGGAAAGUCAGGUGUGAAAGCCCGGGGCUCAACUCCGGAACUGCACUUGAAACUUCCAGACUAGAAUACUGAAGGGGCAGAUGGAAUUAGUGGUGUAGGGGUAAAAUCCGUAGAUAUCACUAGGAAUACCGAAAGCGAAAGCGAUCUGCUGGGAAGUUAUUGACGCUGAGGCACGAAAGCGUGGGGAGCAAACAGGAUUAGAUACCCGCGUAGUC